rnacentral:rRNA from 1 species
UACGUAGGCAGCGAGCGUUGUUCGGAGUUACUGGGCGUAAAGGGUGCGUAGGCGGUUGUUUAAGUUUGGUGUGAAAUCUCCCGGCUCAACUGGGAGGGUGCGCCGAAUACUGAAUGACUAGAGUGCGGGAGAGGAUAGUGGAAUUCCUGGUGUAGCGGUGAAAUUCGUAGAUAUUGGGAAGAACACCGGUGGCGAAGGCGGCGACCUGGUCCGAUACUGACGCUGAGGCGCGAAAGCGUGGGGAGCAAACAGG